AAAUGCGAUUCCUAACGUCUCCUAACUUAGCCUUAAAUAAAAAUGCAUAUUUAAAGAAAAAACACACCAAUCGGUUGCCCCGACCCGUUAUAAAUCCGUCUUCGCAUUUUCAACUAAUUCUCCCGCCAGUACGUGUUCAUCUUCCGUCUUAGGGUUUAAAAUUGGUGUAAAAUUCUGUACUCGGAGAGUCCAAUCGAAAUUCGGCGUCGUCGACGGCGGGAACUUCGAGGUAAACUGGGAUCGAUGGAGUACUCUAGAAGGUGAAAAAAUGGAUUAUAGUGACUGACAAAAUGUGUGGAGAAGUACUAAAAGUAAGACAAUUUAGGGAUAGAUUGAAAUCUGUAGAUAAUAUUGUUGUAGUUAAGAACAGUUUUAGGGACUGGCGAGGCUUCAUUAUAUUUCAUGAAUCUUGUGUUUGGAUUUGAGAUUGUUGUUCUUGAAUUUGAUUAAUGUGAUUACUCUCUUGCUACUC